AUUGAACGCUGGCGGCAUGCUUUACACAUGCAAGUCGAACGGUAACAGGCCGCAAGGUGCUGACGAGUGGCGAACGGGUGAGUAAUGCAUCGGAACGUGCCCAGUCGUGGGGGAUAACGCAGCGAAAGCUGCGCUAAUACCGCAUACGAUCUAUGGAUGAAAGCGGGGGACCGUAAGGCCUCGCGCGAUUGGAGCGGCCGAUGUCAGAUUAGGUAGGUGGUGGGGUAAAGGCUCACCAAGCCAACGAUCUGUAGCUGGUCUGAGAGGACGACCAGCCACACUGGGACUGGGACCCGGCCCAGACUCCUACGGGAGGCAGCAGUGGGGAAUUUUGGCCAAUGGGCGCAAGCCUGAUCCAGCAAUGCCGCGUGCAGGAAGAAGGCCUUCGGGUUGUAAACUGCUUUUGUACGGAACGAAACGGCUCUCACUAAUACUGGGGGCUAAUGACGGUACCGUAAGAAUAAGCACCGGCUAACUACGUGCCAGCAGCCGCCGUAACAC
rnacentral:rRNA from 1 species